UACAGAGGAGCCAAGCGUUGUCCGGAUUGACUGGGCGUAAAGCGCACGCAGGCGGAUGCGCGCGUGGGGUGUGAAAUCUGGCCGCUUAACGACCAGGCGCCAUCCCAUACGGCGCGUCUGGAGUGAUGCAGAGGUCGAUGGAAUUGCCGGUGUAGUGGUGAAAUGCGUAGAGAUCGGCAGGAACACCCAGGGGGAAACCAGUCGACUGGGCAUCUACUGACGCUGAGGUGCGAGAGCGUGGGGAGCGAACCGG
rnacentral:rRNA from 1 species